rnacentral:rRNA from 1 species
GAUGAACGCUGGCGGCGUGCCUAAUACAUGCAAGUCGAGCGAACAGAUGAGGAGCUUGCUCCUCUGACGUUAGCGGCGGACGGGUGAGUAACACGUGGAUAACCUACCUAUAAGACUGGGAUAACUUCGGGAAACCGGAGCUAAUACCGGAUAAUAUAUUGAACCGCAUGGUUCAAUAGUGAAAGACGGUUUUGCUGUCACUUAUAGAUGGAUCCGCGCCGCAUUAGCUAGUUGGUAAGGUAACGGCUUACCAAGGCAACGAUGCGUAGCCGACCUGAGAGGGUGAUCGGCCACACUGGAACUGAGACACGGUCCAGACUCCUACGGGAGGCAGCAAUUGGGAAUCUUCCGCAAUGGGCGAAAGCCCGACGGAGCAACGCCGCGUGAGUGAUGAAGGUCUUCGGAUCGUAAAACUCUGUUAUUAGGGAAGAACAAAUGUGUAAGUAACUAUGCACGUCUUGACGGUACCUAAUCAGAAAGCCACGGCUAACUACGUG